UAGGGAAUCUUCGGCAAUGGACGAAAGUCUGACCGAGCAACGCCGCGUGUGUGAAGAAGGUUUUCGGAUCGUAAAACUCUGUUGUUAGAGAAGAACAAGGACGUUAGUAACUGAACGUCCCCUGACGGUAUCUAACCAGAAAGCCACGGCUAACUACGUGCCAGCAGCCGCGGUAAUACGUAGGUGGCAAGCGUUGUCCGGAUUUAUUGGGCGUAAAGCGAGCGCAGGCGGUUUCUUAAGUCUGAUGUGAAAGCCCCCGGCUCAACCGGGGAGGGUCAUUGGAAACUGGGAGACUUGAGUGCAGAAGAGGGGAGUGGAAUUCCAUGUGUAGCGGUGAAAUGCGUAGAUAUAUGGAGGAACACCAGUGGCGAAGGCGGCUCUCUGGUCUGUAACUGACGCUGAGGCUCGAAAGCGUGGGGAGCAAACAGG
rnacentral:rRNA from 1 species